AGGAUGAACGCUGGCGGCGUGCCUAAUACAUGCAAGUCGAGCGGUAAGGCCACUUCGGUGGUACACGAGCGGCGGACGGCUGAGUAACACGUAGGAACGUACCCCAAACUGAGGGAUAAGCACCAGAAAUGGUGUCUAAUACCGCAUGUGCUCUUCGGAGUAAAGCUACGGCGGUUUGGGAACGGCCUGCGCAAGAUUAGCUUGUUGGUGAGGUAAUAGCUCACCAAGGCGACGAUCUUUAGCUGGUCUGAGAGGAUGACCAGCCAGACUGGAACUGAGAACGGUCCAGACUCCUACGGGAGGCAGCAGUAGGGAAUUUUCCACAAUGGACGAAAGUCUGAUGGAGCAACGCCGCGUGCAGGAUGAAGGCCCUCGGGUCGUAAACUGCUUUUAUAUGUGACGAUUAUGACGGUAGCAUAUAGAAUAAGGAGUCGGCUAACUCCGUGCCAGCAGCCGC
rnacentral:rRNA from 1 species